AUUUGUUGUUGUGUGUUUUAUAUUUCUUAUGUACAAUUUGUUCUGUUCUGAAUUAACUUGUGUGUUUUAUACUGCUGGUGUACAAUCUGUUAUGUUCUGAAGUAAUUUGUAGUUGUGUGUUUUAUAUUUCUUAUGUACAAUUUGUUCUGUUCUGAAGUAACUUGUGUGUUUUAUACUGCUGGUGUACAAUCUGUUAUGUUCUGAAGUAAUUUGUAGUUGUGUGUUUUAUACUGUUAAUAAAUACAAUCUGUUAUGUUCUCAAGUAGCUUGUAGCGGUGUGUUUUAUACUGCUGAUUGUGUACAAUCUGUUAUGUUCUGAUUUUAUACUGCUGAUGUACAAUCUGUUAUGUUCUCAAGUAACCU
rnacentral:lncRNA from 1 species